rnacentral:rRNA from 1 species
GACGAACGCUGGCGGCGUGCUUAACACAUGCAAGUCGAACGGUAAGGCCCUUCGGGGUACACGAGUGGCGAACGGGUGAGUAACACGUGGGUGAUCUGCCCUGCACUUCGGGAUAAGCCUGGGAAACUGGGUCUAAUACCGGAUAGGACCACUGCCUGCAUGGGUGGUGGUGGAAAGCUUUUGCGGUGUGGGAUGGGCCCGCGGCCUAUCAGCUUGUUGGUGGGGUGAUGGCCUACCAAGGCGACGACGGGUAGCCGGCCUGGGAGGGUGACCGGGCACAGUGGGACUGCGAUACGGCCCAGACUCCUACGGGAGGCAGCAGUGGGGGAUAUUGCACAAUGGGCGCAAGCCUGAUGCAGCGACGCCGCGUGAGGGAUGACGGCCUUCGGGUUGUAAACCUCUUUCAGCACCGACGAAGCGCAAGUGACGGUAGGUGCAGAAGAAGGACCGGCCAACUACGUGCCAGCCGCCGCGGUAA